rnacentral:rRNA from 1 species
AUUGAACGCUGGCGGCAGGCCUAACACAUGCAAGUCGAGCGGAAACGAGUUAUCAGAACCUUCGGGGGACGAUAACGGCGUCGAGCGGCGGACGGGUGAGUAAUGCCUAGGAAAUUGCCCUGAUGUGGGGGAUAACCAUUGGAAACGAUGGCUAAUACCGCAUGAUGCCUACGGGCCAAAGAGGGGGACCUUCGGGCCUCUCGCGUCAGGAUAUGCCUAGGUGGGAUUAGCUAGUUGGUGAGGUAAGGGCUCACCAAGGCGACGAUCCCUAGCUGGUCUGAGAGGAUGAUCAGCCACACUGGAACUGAGACACGGUCCAGACUCCUACGGGAGGCAGCAGUGGGGAAUAUUGCACAAUGGGCGCAAGCCUGAUGCAGCCAUGCCGCGUGUGUGAAGAAGGCCUUCGGGUUGUAAAGCACUUUCAGUCGUGAGGAAGGUGGUAGUGUUAAUAGCACUAUCAUUUGACGUUAGCGACAGAAGAAGCACCGGCUAACUCCGUGCCAGCAGCCGCGGUAAUACGGAGGGUGCGAGCGUUAAUCGGAAUUACUGGGCGUAAAGCGCAUGCAGGUGGUUUGUUAAGUCAGAUGUGAAAGCCCGGGGCUCAACCUCGGAAUUGCAUUUGAAACUGGCAGACUAGAGUACUGUAGAGGGGGGUAGAAUUUCAGGUGUAGCGGUGAAAUGCGUAGAGAUCUGAAGGAAUACCGGUGGCGAAAGCGGCCCCCUGGACAGAUACUGACACUCAGAUGCGAAAGCGUGGGGAGCAAACAG